rnacentral:snRNA from 1 species
ACAAUCACCAUCAGGGAGGAUACCAUGAUCAAGAAGGUGGUUUUCCCAGGGUGAGGCUCUCCCAUUGCACUCUGGGUAUGCAGGCUCUUGCGAUUUCUCCAAAUACAGGAGAUUCAACUGCAUGAUUUGUGGUAGUAGGGGACAGCAUUUGAGCUUUUCCCUU